rnacentral:tRNA from 1 species
GCCAGUGUAGCUCAGUUGGUCAGAGCAGCUGAUUUGUAAUCAGCAGGUCAUCGGUUCGACUCCGGUCACCGGCUCCA